rnacentral:rRNA from 1 species
AUUGAACGCUGGCGGCAGGCCUAACACAUGCAAGUCGAACGAGUGGCGGACGGGUGCGUAAUGUCUGGGAAACUGCCUGAUGGAGGGGGAUAACUACUGGAAACGGUAGCUAAUACCGCAUACCAUCAGAUGUGCCCAGAUGGGAUUAGCUAGUUGGUGGGGUAACGGCUAACAAAGGCGACGAUCCCUAGCUGGUCUGAGAGGAUGACCAGCCACACUGGAACUGAUACACGUGCCAGACUCCUACGGGAGGCAGCAGUGGGUAAGAUUGCACAAGGUGCGCAAGCCUGAUGCAGCCAUGCCGCGUGUAUGAAGAAGGCCUUCGGGUUGUAAAGUACUUUCAGCGGGGAGGCGUUACCCGCAGAAGAAGCACCGGCUAACUCCGUGCCAGCCGCCGCGGUAAUUC